AUUUCACCAGAUAGCUAUAACAUCAUAAAGACAAAAGUCCUUUGAACACGCUGCAGCUGCUGAUCCCCUCAACCUCGAGAAACAAUUUGGUGGCCCUCUAACAGAAGACUAAGGGUGGUUCAAGCCUAUAAUCC